GAUGAACGCUGGCGGCGUGCUUAACACAUGCAAGUCGAACGAUGAAGCGGUGCUUGCACCGUGGAUUAGUGGCGAACGGGUGAGUAACACGUGAGCAAUCUGCCCUUGACUCUGGGAUAACAGUUGGAAACAGCUGCUAAUACUGGAUACGAGCUGGAACCGCAUGGUUACUGGUUGGAAAGAUUUUUCGGUCAAGGAUGAGCUCGCGGCCUAUCAGCUUGUUGGUGAGGUAAUGGCUCACCAAGGCGUCGACGGGUAGCCGGCCUGAGAGGGUGACCGGCCACACUGGGACUGAGACACGGCCCAGACUCCUACGGGAGGCAGCAGUGGGGAAUAUUGCACAAUGGGCGGAAGCCUGAUGCAGCAACGCCGCGUGAGGGAUGACGGCCUUCGGGUUGUAAACCUCUUUUAGCAGGGAAGAAGCGGUAGUGACGGUACCUGCAGAAAAAGCACCGGCUAACUACGUGCCAGCAGCCGCGGUAAUACGUAGGGUGCAAGCGUUAUCCGGAAUUAUUGGGCGUAAAGAGCUCGUAGGCGGUUUGUCGCGUCUGCUGUGAAAACCCGAGGCUCAACCUCGGGCCUGCAGUGGGUACGGGCAGACUAGAGUGCGGUAGGGGAGAUUGGAAUUCCUGGUGUAGCGGUGGAAUGCGCAGAUAUCAGGAGGAACACCGAUGGCGAAGGCAGAUCUCUGGGCCGUAACUGACGCUGAGGAGCGAAAGGGUGGGGAGCAAACAGGCUUAGAUACCCUGGUAGUCCACCCCGUAAACGUUGGGAACUAGUUGUGGGGUCCAUUCCACGGAUUCCGUGACGCAGCUAACGCAUUAAGUUCCCCGCCUGGGGAGUACGGCCGCAAGGCUAAAACUCAAAGGAAUUGACGGGGACCCGCACAAGCGGCGGAGCAUGCGGAUUAAUUCGAUGCAACGCGAAGAACCUUACCAAGGCUUGACAUACACGAGAACGCUGCAGAAAUGUAGAACUCUUUGGACACUCGUGAACAGGUGGUGCAUGGUUGUCGUCAGCUCGUGUCGUGAGAUGUUGGGUUAAGUCCCGCAACGAGCGCAACCCUCGUUCUAUGUUGCCAGCACGUUAUGGUGGGAACUCAUGGGAUACUGCCGGGGUCAACUCGGAGGAAGGUGGGGAUGACGUCAAAUCAUCAUGCCCCUUAUGUCUUGGGCUUCACGCAUGCUACAAUGGCCGGUACAAUGGGCUGCGAUACCGUAAGGUGGAGCGAAUCCCAAAAAGCCGGUCCCAGUUCGGAUUGAGGUCUGCAACUCGACCUCAUGAAGUCGGAGUCGCUAGUAAUCGCAGAUCAGCAACGCUGCGGUGAAUACGUUCCCGGGUCUUGUACACACCGCCC
rnacentral:rRNA from 1 species